AUUGAACGCUGGCGGCAUGCUUUACACAUGCAAGUCGAACGGUAACAGGCCUUCGGGUGCUGACGAGUGGCGAACGGGUGAGUAAUGCAUCGGAACGUACCCAGAGGUGGGGGAUAACGCAGCGAAAGCUGUGCUAAUACCGCAUGUGAUCUGAGGAUGAAAGCGGGGGACCGAGCAGCAAUGUUUGGCCUCGCGCCUUUGGAGCGGCCGAUGUCGGAUUAGCUAGUUGGUGGGGUAAAGGCCUACCAAGGCGACGAUCCGUAGCUGGUCUGAGAGGACGACCAGCCACACUGGGACUGAGACACGGCCCAGACUCCUACGGGAGGCAGCAGUGGGGAAUUUUGGACAAUGGGCGCAAGCCAGAUCCAGCAAUGCCGCGUGCGGGAAGAAGGCCUUCGGGUUGUAAACCGCUUUUGGCAGGAACGAAACGGUGUCCGCUAAUACCGGGCGCUAAUGACGGUACCUGCAGAAUAAGCACCGGCUAACUACGUG
rnacentral:rRNA from 1 species